rnacentral:rRNA from 1 species
UGCGAACUCCUACGGGAGGCAGCAGUGGGGAAUCUUCCGCAAUGGACGAAAGUCUGACGGAGCAACGCCGCGUGAGUGAUGACGGCCUUCGGGUUGUAGAGCUCUGUUAAUCGGGACGAAAGGUCCUCUUGCGACUAGUUAGAGGAAUUGACGGUACCGGAAUAGAAAGCCACGGCUAACUACGUGCCAGCAGCCGCGGUAAUACGUAGGUGGCAAGCGUUGUCCGGAAUUAUUGGGCGUAAAGCGCGCGCAGGCGGAUCAGUCAGUCUGUCUUAAAAGUUCGGGGCAUAACCCCGUGAUGGGAUGGAAACUGCUGGUCUAGAAUAGCGGAGAGGAAAGUGGAAUUCCUAGUGUAGCGGUGAAGUGCGUAGAUAUUAGGAAGAACACCAGUGGCGAAGGCGACUUUCUGGACGAAAACUGACGCUGAGGCGCGAAAGCCAGGGGAGCGAACGGGAUUAGAUACCCUUGUAGUCCUAG